rnacentral:lncRNA from 1 species
AAUUUAUAUAGGAUGACCGUAACUUUUAUAGGAUGACCAUCAAUUCUAAGAAAUAUCCGUAUUGUAUUCAAAGCUUUUUUGUUGAGUUUGUCGAUCUCAAUAGGGGCUCGGUUAGCGGAUAUAAAUAUGUUUCAUAAAUUUCUUUUUUUAAACUAUAAUAUAAUUGGCCAUAUUUAGGAUUUAUAACAAUGAUAGUAAAUUGCAUAUUUCUCGUAAACAAUGAAAUAUUUAUUGAUAUCGACGUUAAAAUUUUAACACAAAUUUACAGCGAUACGACGAAAAUUUGAAGAAACAUGAAUGUGUCCCUAGUACACGGAUGCCUCAUCUACACUAUCAUUUUCUAUGUUUAGU